CCUGUUCCUGUACACAGCAACAAAGUCCCUAGCUUUGGGGGGCAGCGGUCAGCAUGGCAGUGUUGUGGUGUAAAGUGUGACAAGUAACGCUAAGAUGAUGAACGACAUUAUAGAGGAGCAAGAGAGGGACACCCUCCUGGACGCGCUGCCCGAGCCGCAAGUUUUGACGGGGCCUAGCAGCAGCACGAGACCCAAGACUGCUGAUGGUGGCAUCAGGCCUGUGGAGAAAAGAGGACCUUACAUCAUGUCCAGAGCUCCAGCCAUCCACCUUAAACUACAGAAGCACCGGGAGAUGGCGAGGAAAGCAUUGAAGAAGAAAGCCCUCACAUCAGGAGCUCCAGUGCUGCAUCAACCCAGACAAGGAGCCAAGAG
rnacentral:lncRNA from 1 species